rnacentral:rRNA from 1 species
CCGCCAGCUAAGGUCCCAAAGUCAUGGUUAAGUGGGAAACGAUGUGGGAAGGCCCAGACAGCCAGGAUGUUGGCUUAGAAGCAGCCAUCAUUUAAAGAAAGCGUAAUAGCUCACUGGUCGAGUCGGCCUGCGCGGAAGAUGUAACGGGGCUAAACCAUGCACCGAAGCUGCGGCAGCGACACUGUGUGUUGUUGGGUAGGGGAGCGUUCUGUAAGCCUGUGAAGGUGUGCUGUGAGGCAUGCUGGAGGUAUCAGAAGUGCGAAUGCUGACAUAAGUAACGAUAAAGCGGGUGAAAAGCCCGCUCGCCGGAAGACCAAGGGUUCCUGUCCAACGUUAAUCGGGGCAGGGUGAGUCGACCCCUAAGGCGAGGCCGAAAGGCGUAGUCGAUGGGAAACAGGUUAAUAUUCCUGUACUUGGUGUUACUGCGAAGGGGGGACGGAGAAGGCUAUGUUGGCCGGGCGACGGUUGUCCCGGUUUAAGCGUGUAGGCUGGUUUUCCAGGCAAAUCCGGAAAAUCAAGGCUGAGGCGUGAUGACGAGGCACUACGGUGCUGAAGCAACAAAUGCCCUGCUUCCAGGAAAAGCCUCUAAGCAUCAGGUAACAUCAAAUCGUACCCCAAACCGACACAGGUGGUCAGGUAGAGAAUACCAAGGCGCUUGAGAGAACUCGGGUGAAGGAACUAGGCAAAAUGGUGCCGUAACUUCGGGAGAAGGCACGCUGAUAUGUAGGUGAAGUCCCUCGCGGAUGGAGCUGAAAUCAGUCGAAGAUACCAGCUGGCUGCAACUGUUUAUUAAAAACACAGCACUGUGCAAACACGAAAGUGGACGUAUACGGUGUGACGCCUGCCCGGUGCCGGAAGGUUAAUUGAUGGGGUCAGCGCAAGCGAAGCUCUUGAUCGAAGCCCCGGUAAACGGCGGCCGUAACUAUAACGGUCCUAAGGUAGCGAAAUUCCUUGUCGGGUAAGUUCCGACCUGCACGAAUGGCGUAAUGAUGGCCAGGCUGUCUCCACCCGAGACUCAGUGAAAUUGAACUCGCUGUGAAGAUGCAGUGUACCCGCGGCAAGACGGAAAGACCCCGUGAACCUUUACUAUAGCUUGACACUGAACAUUGAGCCUUGAUGUGUAGGAUAGGUGGGAGGCUUUGAAGUGUGGACGCCAGUCUGCAUGGAGCCGACCUUGAAAUACCACCCUUUAAUGUUUGAUGUUCUAACGUGGACCCGUGAUCCGGGUUGCGGACAGUGUCUGGUGGGUAGUUUGACUGGGGCGGUCUCCUCCUAAAGAGUAACGGAGGAGCACGAAGGUUGGCUAAUCCUGGUCGGACAUCAGGAGGUUAGUGCAAUGGCAUAAGCCAGCUUGACUGCGAGCGUGACGGCGCGAGCAGGUGCGAAAGCAGGUCAUAGUGAUCCGGUGGUUCUGAAUGGAAGGGCCAUCGCUCAACGGAUAAAAGGUACUCCGGGGAUAACAGGCUGAUACCGCCCAAGAGUUCAUAUCGACGGCGGUGUUUGGCACCUCGAUGUCGGCUCAUCACAUCCUGGGGCUGAAGUAGGUCCCAAGGGUAUGGCUGUUCGCCAUUUAAAGUGGUACGCGAGCUGGGUUUAGAACGUCGUGAGACAGUUCGGUCCCUAUCUGCCGUGGGCG